UACGUAGGUGGCAAGCGUUGUCCGGAUUUAUUGGGUUUAAAGGGUGCGUAGGCGGCCUAUUAAGUCAGUGGUGAAAUAUCUCAGCUUAACUGAGAAGGUGCCAAUGAUACUGAUGGGCUUGAGUACAGAUGAGGUAGGCGGAAUUGACGGUGUAGCGGUGAAAUGCUUAGAUAUCCGGAGGAACACCGGUGGCGAAGGCGGCUUCCUGGACCGACACUGACGCUGAGGCGCGAAAGCGUGGGGAGCGAACAGG
rnacentral:rRNA from 1 species